rnacentral:rRNA from 1 species
UAGAGUUUGAUCAUGGCUCANUGAUGAACGCUUGGCGGCGUGCCUAAUACAUGCAAGUCGAGCGAACGGAUUAAGAGCUUGCUCUUAUGAAGUUAGCGGCGGACGGGUGAGUAACACAUGGGUAACCUGCCCAUAAGACUGGUGAUAACUCCGGGAAACCUGGGGCUAAUACCGGAUAACAUUUUGAACCGCAUGGUUCGAAAUUGAAAGGCUGGCUUCUGGCUUGUCACUUAUGGAUGGACCCUGCGUCGCAUUAGCUAGUUGGUGAGGUAACGGCUCACCAAGGCAACGAUGCGUAGCCGACCUGAGAGGGUGAUCAGGCCACACUGGGACUGAGACACGGCCCAGACUCCUACGGGAGGCAGCAGUAGGGAAUCUUCCGCAAUGGACGAAAGUCUGACGGAGCAACGCCGCGUAGAGUAGAUGAAGGCUUUCGGGUCGUAAAACUCUGUAAGUAUAGGGAAGAACAAGUGCUAGUUUGAAUAAGCUGGCACCUUGACGGUACCUAACCAGAAAGCCACGGUAACUACAUGCCAGACANACGCGGUAAUACGUACNGUAGCAAAGCGUANCCCGGGAAUUAAUUAGGGNCGUAUAA